rnacentral:misc_RNA from 1 species
GGGGUUUGAACAGUUGUUUCUGUACACUUUUUGACAUGGAGCCAUAAUACAUGACUUUCCAAUAAUUUCUCAAUUUCUAAUAAUUUCCUGAACCUUUCUAUAAAUAAGCAUAAACAAGCUGCUCCAUUUCAUGCUUCUCUAUGGCCUUUCACUUAUUGGCAAUGAUCAUAUAGACAGUCAAUUAACUUAUUUCUGGAAAUGGGAAACUAUUUCUGGUAGUGGUGAGUCAGAGCCAUUGAUACUCGAUGGUUUACUCACACUUAAAUUCACUCAUUUGAUUAAUUCCUUUAAUUUCUAAUAAUUUCCUAAACAUUUCAAUAAAUAAGCAUAACAAGCUGCUGCAUUUCACACUUCUCGUCUUCCACUUAUUGGCAAGGAUCACAUAGACAAUCAAUUAACUUAUUUCUGGAAAUUGGAAACUACUUCUGGUAGUAGUGGUGAGGCAUAGCCAUUAGUACUUGGUGGUUUGCUCUCACAUUUCAAUUCACCCAUUUGAUUUUGAAUCCUCAAUAUCUUAUUAAGUUAUACUGAAGUCCAAAUAAAUUGAAAUGAAAUAUGGAUUGAGUAAGAACUGUUUUCAUUUGAUAGAUAAGUUUUGUGCUUGUGGAGAUAACAAGUUCUAUUCAUUAUAUUUAUCCUUUUUGCAUUAGAAGUAUAGUUCCUAAAUUUGCUCGAGCAUGAAAGUGAAAUACGUUGACAUUUUAGAUUCAAUUUAUGCAUUAGGUACAAACUCAUAUUGCAAAACUCGGACCACAGAUAAGCUUGAUAUAUGGACAGCAUCAACAUUUGAAAUCUCCCUCUGACCAGUGACUGUACAUUACUCUAGCUAUUCCUUAAGAUUUCUACUAUGCAUUGUUUUUGCAGCAGCAGCAUGUGUGGAAUAGACAUGUAACAAUAAUAUUUGUUGUCUCAACAGUUGGAGUUCUGUCCCUAUGCUUCUUUUUAUUUUACUUUUUUUCCCUUCCCUUUCAGUGCUUAUAUAUGAAAACGUAUCUUCAUAUCAAUAAACAAAUGGAAAUUUUGUAUACUUCGAUUAUUUUGAAGAAGUUGAAUCUACUUAGCUGUCUGCAUCUGAAAUAAGCGAUUUGCUUUCAAGAGUGCAUUUGAUAUGCAUACAUUGAUCAACUGAUCUGCCACCUUCUUAACAAAAAUGAAGGCCGGAAGAUGUGGUAGAAUGAAAAUAAAUAAAUCAGAUUUUUUUCUCUCUUCUCAGUGUUGAUGCAUUCCCAGCAACAUUCAUCCAUUUGUGACAGGCAUUAAUUUUUUGUGUUUACUCCGAUUCAGAAAUGUCACUGAGCAAACAAUUAUGGCUAUGCUGUUGGAAUAACUUUGUGUGGUGAUUUAUUUGAGAUUUUAGUAACACUGGGAUGACUUGUACCUUUUAAAAUUUGUGCAUGGGUUGGGCAAUGCAAGGGAUGGUAUGUUGAUUAGAUCUAUUACUGUUUUGUUACUAUUUUUAUACGUAAACCAAGUAGUUUUUGAUGUUGCAAUCCUAAAUUCAUCAACUCUUUAGUUGAAUUUGGCUUCCAAACUGCUUUAGUUAUCAUAAUUUUCGCAGAGGCCAUGUUAUCGAAUUGAAAUGGUGUUUCACUGAAUUAUAUGUCAAUAAAGAUGAGGGCCCUUGCCAAGUACUUCUAUUAGUCCUUAUGAUGCCCUUUAUAGAUGGUAAAUGCAUAUGGGGUCAUCUAUACUGGCAUUUGGAUGGGAACUACUUGUGCUGUCAUGGUCAUUUCAAUUCCUUUGUCACACUGGUCUUGGUUUGGCACAUUCGAGGUACAAUCCUAUCCUUAAUUCUCAUAAUUUUUUUUUUAAUUUUUUGAAGUGGGUCCAGCUAAAAUAAUAUUCUCAUCACAACUGGCUGAAGUCCAUCUCUAUCUAGGCUAGGCUUUUAUGGUCAAGGUCAUAAUCCGAUUAUUAAUGUUUGCUCAAUUGUCCUUUUAGUUGGUUAUGGUAUAUUUGAAGUCUCUAUUUUACAAUCAAUACCUGAUUGAUAAUCUUAGUUUGAUCUUACAUGCCAGUCUGCAUUCUUGGGUCCUUUACAUCUGACUACUGUCCUUACAACCCAUGUGAGUGUGUUUAUUUUUGCUUUUCUACAUUUCUGUGGCAUCCCCAUCUGUUACCCGAGUGUAGAGUAUACCUAAAAAGAAGGCACCGCCUGUUGAGAAUAUUUCAACUGACCAUGUUUUUUCACAUCAUUAUUAAAUUCCAUCGUGUAUUUCCUGGACAUCUCAGUUUCGUUUAUUUCAACCCAGAUGACUGAAUUGUUUCCCUUUCUUGCAUCCUGAUAACAUGAGUGCAUUGUUUUCUAUUUAUGUGGUUAUAUGCAUGCCCAUAAAAUGUAGACACAGAUGAUGCUAUUUCAAAUGGCUGCUCUUAGUUCCUCUAGCAGAG